rnacentral:tRNA from 1 species
CUGGUGGCGGAAUUGGUAGACGCGUCAGACUUAAAAUCUGAUGAUCGCAAGAUCGUGGGGGUUCGAGUCCCCCCCUGCCC